AGGACGAACGCUGGCGGCGUGCCUAAUACAUGCAAGUCGAACGGUCUUUUCUAUGGAAGCUUGCUUCCACUGAGAAGAUAGUGGCGAACGGGUGAGUAACACGUGGGUAACCUGCCCAUAAGAGGGGGGAUAACAUCCGGAAACGGGUGCUAAUACCGCAUAGUUUUCUUGAUCGCAUGAUCGGGAAAGGAAAGACGGCCUUUGUGCUGUCGCUUAUGGAUGGACCCGCGGCGUAUUAGUUAGUUGGUGAGGUAACGGCUCACCAAGACGAUGAUACGUAGCCGACCUGAGAGGGUGAUCGGCCACAUUGGGACUGAGACGCGGCCCAAACUCCUACGGGAGGCAGCAGUAGGGAAUCUUCCGCAAUGGACGAAAGUCUGACGGAGCAACGCCGCGUGAGUGAAGAAAGGUUUUCGGAUCGUAAAACUCUGUUGUCAGAGAAGAACAAGUUGGAGAGUAACUGCUCCAGCCUUGACGGUAUCUGACCAGAAAGCCACGGCUAACUACGUGCCAGCAGCCGC
rnacentral:rRNA from 1 species